UUUUCUUGCACCAACUAAUGCGGUGUCGCUGGCGGCUGAGGAGGGCGGAGAGUUCUGUGGUGAAAUAGUGGGAAGGAUUCAUGUAGGCAUCGGGAAGAGCCUAAGUCCACAUUAUAAAAUAGGAAGUUGAUGCGGGGUACAGUUACUCCCGGACCGGCGGCGUGAAAGUCGUGAUAUCAUCGUUGAACUGCGGCUUCUUUCAGAUCCAUCGUCUUUCUCCCGGAGUAUGAAUGGAAGGAUUCAGUAUGCGCUUCACAUUUGUAUGUCUCUGGCCAUUCUCAAACCAGGCCCUUCCCUUUGAAAAGUCUUUUGCAUGGGAUGUUCACUUCUUAGACGCAAGGUUGUGUGCCCUGGUUUCAUCGUCUAACGCGUUAGAAGGCGCUUUCAUUUCUUCAUGGGUGUUGAGCGCCGACCACUGGGGUGGCCUCUGCCUUCGUAGACCUGCGCCUGGUGAGACGGACAGAUGCUGAACAAAACGAUGUGAAAUUACCGCAGUGGCAGUGCCC
rnacentral:lncRNA from 1 species